rnacentral:rRNA from 1 species
UAGUCCACGCCGUAAACGAUGAGUGUUAGAUGUCCGAGGUAAACUUGGGUGUCCUAGGCUAACGCGAUAAACACUCCGCCUGGGGAGUACGUACGCAAGUAUGAAACUCAAAGGAAUUGACGGGGACCCGCACAAGCAGCGGAGCAUGUGGUUUAAUUCGACGCAACGCGAAGAACCUUACCAAGUCUUGACAUAACUUUGAAGUCCUUUAGAGAUAGAGGAUCAUUGACUUCGGUCAACAAAGCUAC